GCAGUCGUGCCGAGUGGUUAAGGCGAUGGACUCGAAAUCCAUUGGGGUCUCCCCGCACAGGUUCGAAUCCUGUCGACUGCG